rfam:Zea mays cultivar B73 chromosome 1, whole genome shotgun sequence.
ACUGCUUCUCGAAUAACCGAUUGCAGAUACUAUCUGUUCGCAGGCGGUUCAGACAGGGGCAUAGAACAAAUCUGAAUCACCACGAGGGAAGGGUUAUUUCCAUUAAUCCUUUCUCGUUAGGAUUCGUAUAGAUUUACAUAUAU